CUUGGGGAAGUACACAGAAUAGAUCAAAGGAGAUAAGACUCAGCAGAAAGACCAAGAAAGCUCCACAAUAGCUCAGACGACAGAUGACUGUGGCCUGGCCCAGGGUGGUGGCAGCAGGGAAGAGGAGUGGAUGGGUUGGAAAACACCGCAGGAAAUGAGAGAGCCAGAGUGGAAGGAGCCAAGAGAUCAAGAAGGAGAAGUUGAAGAUGCGGGGAGACAGAGCUUGAUUAUCCAGUAGGAAGCAGCCUGUGUGAGAAGAGGACCGCUCCCCACCCCCAAGUAUCCACCAAGGCCAAGGAAUGGAACUAAGAACCACAGAGGAAAGUUGGCAGAGGUGCAGAGAGAUGGGCCAUGAGACUGCACUACGCUGGAACCUCAUCCCCCUGCUCUCUAUCCCAUGAAUCCAAAAUGUGCUUUCUGCCUUGAAGCCUCUAAAGAAUUCUCUUUCCUUACCAUAUCUGUCCUCUACCUCCAGAAGCCAAUUUUUCUUUUUCUUUAUCCCAAAUGUAAUAGUACAGAAGCCAGUUUUUAUUGAGCCAGCUUGAAUGGUUUCUGUCCCACGGGACAUGAAAGGCAGUGUCUUCUAGACAAGGUGUUUGAUGAGGAAUAGCUUCCUCCUCUCCCACCUGCACCAGCCCCAAACCUUCCGACUUGUUCUGUCUGCUUCCUUCUGCCGUGCCAGCCUGCCUACCUGUUGCACCAGGUCAGUGGGCUGAGCAAUGUGUUGACAAGAGCCAGAGUGGAACAAAGAGGACACAGGGGCAUCCAUCUGUUGGGACUGGCCAGACAGAGCUGACUUCUCAAACAGGGAGGUGUGGGCCCUCCCAAGCAGGAUGCCAUUGAAAGGAAGGGGAAACAUGGGGUGGAAUUUAGGCAGCCAGGAUUUGAGAAACUCAAGCAAGAUGGCUAGUGGAAACCUUCCCUCGGUUCCACUGAGCAGCUCCGUGCAGAUUCGG
rnacentral:lncRNA from 10 species